UAUCGAGCGAGGAAGCCCUCAAAAGUUUCGACAAAAAUCAGAGUGAAAAUGAAUUCGCGAACUGUCUUUGUUCUUUUUUACGUUUUUGUCCUAGCGAUUCCUGUUUUCGUGUUGGCUUCGAAUUAUAAGAGGUGGAACUGCCCUUUCGACGCCAGAUGUGGAAGGAAGCAAAAGUGGAGACGCAGUGAAGCUGUUGUUAGCCAUCUUAAAAGAAACAUGAUAUUGAGGCCGGAGGAGGAUGUGAUGAAAAACGGGAGAGGACUGGACAAUAUGGAUAAUAUCGCAGUGUCUGAUGGGAAUGAUAGAGAGUGGAAGUAACUGUUCAUACUUUGGAAAAACGGAAAAGGGAAAAACAAACCUCGAUAGAUAAGAAACAGGAGGUUCAUUUAAACAGAAUCAAAUAUGAAAUUGUUACUAAAAUAAUUGCUUUGAAUAAACCUACUUGUACGGCC